rnacentral:rRNA from 1 species
UAGAGCAAAGUAUUUCAUGUGGAAUAACUUUUGGGAAUUCUAGAGCUAAUACGUGCAAUCUAAGCUCCAACUCACGUAGGAGCGCAUUUAUUAGACCAAAACCAGCCAGGUUCUAUCUGUAUUUUGGUGACUCUGGAUAACUCUCGCUAAUCGCAGUGGCCCUGAGCCGGCGAUGCAUCUYUCAAAUGUCUGACCUAUCAACUUUCGAUGGUAAGUGCAAUGCUUACCACGGUUGUAACGGGUGACGGGGAAUCAGGGUUCGAUUCCGGAGAGGGAGCCUGAGAAACGGCUGCCACUCCUACGGGAGGCAGCAGGCGCGCAAAUUACCCACUCCCGGCACGGGGAGGUAGUGACGAAAAAUAACGGCACCGGGCAUUAUGCCUUGGUGAUCGCAAUGAGAACAAUGUAAAUACCUUAACGAGUAUCAAAUAGAGGGCAAGUCUGGUGCCAGCAGCCGCGGUAAUUCNNNNNUUAUUAGCGUAUAUUAAAGUUGUUGCGGUUAAAAAGCUCGUAGUUGGAUCUCAGGCAAGUUGGGACCUCCGUCGAGAAGACGGCAGCGUUCUCAAACGAGCUUAGUAGUCGCGUCCGCCUUUCCGGUACCUUUAAACGGGUGUCUUAGGCGGCCGGCAUGUUUACUUUGAAGAAAAUAAAGUGCUCAAAGCAAACGAUUGUUCGAAUGGUGUUGCAUGGAAUAAUGGAAUAGGACUUCGGUCCAUUUUGUUGGUUUCAAAACCGAAGUAAUGAUUAAAACCCACGGA